rnacentral:rRNA from 1 species
GAUGAACGCUGGCGGCGUGCCUAAUACAUGCAAGUCGAGCGAACGGACGAGAAGCUUGCUUCUCUGAUGUUAGCGGCGGACGGGUGAGUAACACGUGGAUAACCUACCUAUAAGACUGGGAUAACUUCGGGAAACCGGAGCUAAUACCGGAUAAUAUUUUGAACCGCAUGGUUCAAAGGUGAAAGACGGUCUUGCUGUCACUUAUAGAUGGAUCCGCGCUGCAUUAGCUAGUUGGUAAGGUAACGGCUUACCAAGGCAACGAUGCAUAGCCGACCUGAGAGGGUGAUCGGCCACACUGGAACUGAGACACGGUCCAGACUCCUACGGGAGGCAGCAGUAGGGAAUCUUCCGCAAUGGGCGAAAGCCUAACGGAGCAACGCCGCGUGAGUGAUGAAGGUCUUCGGAUCGUAAAACUCUGUUAUUAGGGAAGAACAUAUGUGUAAGUAACUGUGCACAUCUUGACGGUACCUAAUCAGAAAGCCACGGCUAACUACGUGCCAGCAGCCGCGGUAAUACGUAGGUGGCAAGCGUUAUCCGGAAUUAUUGGGCGUAAAGCGCGCGUAGGCGGUUUUUUAAGUCUGAUGUGAAAGCCCACGGCUCAACCGUGGAGGGUCAUUGGAAACUGGAAAACUUGAGUGCAGAAGAGGAAAGUGGAAUUCCAUGUGUAGCGGUGAAAUGCGCAGAGAUAUGGAGGAACACCAGUGGCGAAGGCGACUUUCUGGUCUGUAACUGACGCUGAUGUGCGAAAGCGUGGGGAUCAAACAGGAUUAGAUACCCUGGUAGUCCACGCCGUAAACGAUGAGUGCUAAGUGUUAGGGGGUUUCCGCCCCUUAGUGCUGCAGCUAACGCAUUAAGCACUCCGCCUGGGGAGUACGACCGCAAGGUUGAAACUCAAAGGAAUUGACGGGGACCCGCACAAGCGGUGGAGCAUGUGGUUUAAUUCGAAGCAACGCGAAGAACCUUACCAAAUCUUGACAUCCUUUGACAACUCUAGAGAUAGAGCUUUCCCCUUCGGGGGACAAAGUGACAGGUGGUGCAUGGUUGUCGUCAGCUCGUGUCGUGAGAUGUUGGGUUAAGUCCCGCAACGAGCGCAACCCUUAAGCUUAGUUGCCAUCAUUAAGUUGGGCACUCUAAGUUGACUGCCGGUGACAAACCGGAGGAAGGUGGGGAUGACGUCAAAUCAUCAUGCCCCUUAUGAUUUGGGCUACACACGUGCUACAAUGGACAAUACAAAGGGCAGCGAAACCGCGAGGUCAAGCAAAUCCCAUAAAGUUGUUCUCAGUUCGGAUUGUAGUCUGCAACUCGACUACAUGAAGCUGGAAUCGCUAGUAAUCGUAGAUCAGCAUGCUACGGUGAAUACGUUCCCGGGUCU